rnacentral:rRNA from 1 species
GACGAGGGCGCGAGCGUUGUCCGGAUUUAUUGGGCGUAAAGAGCUCGUAGGCGGCUCGUUGCGUCGGCUGUGAAAACCCGCAGCUCAACUGUGGGCUUGCAGCCGAUACGGGCGGGCUGGGAUUCGGUAGGGGAGACUGGAAUUCCUGGUGUAGCGGUGAAAUGCGCAGAUAUCAGGAGGAACACCGGUGGCGAAGGCGGUUCUCUGGGCAUUACCUGACGCUGAGGAGCGAAAGUGUGGGGAGCGAACAGG